UCAUGUUGCUGAAGGUCUCCAGGACAGGACACACUGUCUCUCUCCUGUGCUAGUACAGGGAUGUGCCAUGAGCACUACAGCACUCUGCUGCUUCCAGCCUCUGGAAUAACUGAUGGAUAACACAAGAGAGGAGUCCCUGAGAGUGGGGGAUGUCAGCAUUGAGAUGCAAUGUUUCAGGAGAGUCUGCUCCCCAGCAAGCUGCUUAAAUCCCUCUGCAGAUCUGGAAAAUCCUCAGCUGUUAUGGCUUCCAAAGGACCAGAUUCUGAGAUGUGAAGCACUGACAGGUGGAUAAUAGAAAUGUUCUGGACAGUCAGAGUGCUGCUGGAGAUGACAUAUGGGAAGGUG